UCACAAUCGGCUUGAUCUUCGAUUUGCAUGGCCAAGGAUGAGUCAAGGUUUCCUUUUGACUGGGUAUAAGGUGUUGAAUCGCAACUUCGCAAGGAGGUCCAGCUUCAUCAGGUGAUUCAGAGGAAGAGAGAAUCCGAGAGUUCAAGUGCUUGGUGACCAGUUCUGGACCAUUUCCUUUCCCUCUAGCUAAAAGAGAAUGAGAUAUCAUAAGGGCUCUCUCUCUUCCUUCUUUUUUCUAAUUCUUAGUGCUAUGGUGGUGUGUUGUAUCUGUUUUUCCUAUCGAUGGUGAAG
rnacentral:misc_RNA from 1 species